rnacentral:rRNA from 1 species
GACGUAGGGCGCGAGCGUUGUCCGGAAUUAUUGGGCGUAAAGCGCACGUAGGCGGUCCGCUAAGUCGGGUGUGAAAUCCCUCGGCUUAACCGAGGAAGUGCAUUCGAAACUGGCGGGCUUGAGUACUGAAGAGGGUCGCGGAAUUCCCGGUGUAGAGGUGAAAUUCGUAGAUAUUCGCAAGAACACCAGUGGCGAAGGCGGCUCACUGGCCCGAUACUGACGCUGAGGCACGGAAAGCGUGGGGAGCAAACAG